UCCCGUGUGGCUCAGUUGGUAGAGCAUGGUGUUUGCAAUGCCAGGGUUGUGGGUUCAAUUCACACAGGGGAC
rfam:Salmo salar isolate Sally breed double haploid chromosome ssa01, whole genome shotgun sequence.